GAUGAACGCUGGCGGCGUGCCUAAUACAUGCAAGUCGAGCGAACAGACGAGGAGCUUGCUCCUUUGACGUUAGCGGCGGACGGGUGAGUAACACGUGGGUAACCUACCUAUAAGACUGGGAUAACUUCGGGAAACCGGAGCUAAUACCGGAUAAUAUUUCGAACCGCAUGGUUCGAUAGUGAAAGAUGGCUCUGCUAUCACUUAUAGAUGGAACUGCGCCGUAUUAGCUAGUUGGUAAGGUAACGGCUUACCAAGGCAACGAUACGUAGCCGACCUGAGAGGGUGAUCGGCCACACUGGAACCGAGACACGGUCCAGACUCCUACGGGAGGCAGCAGUAGGGAAUCUUCCGCAAUGGGCGAAAGCCUGACGGAGCAACGCCGCGUGAGUGAUGAAGGUCUUCGGAUCGUAAAACUCUGUUAUUAGGGAAGAACAAACGUGUAAGUAACUGUGCACGUCUUGACGGUAUCUAAUCAGAAAGCCACGGCUAACUACGUGCCAGCCGCCGCGGUAA
rnacentral:rRNA from 1 species